rnacentral:rRNA from 1 species
GAUGAACGCUAGCUACAGGCUUAACACAUGCAAGUCGCGGGGCAGCAUGGGGGUUGCUUGCAACUCCCGAUGGCGACCGGCGCACGGGUGAGUAACGCGUAUCCAACCUGCCCUUCACCACGGGAUAACCCGGCGAAAGUCGGACUAAUACCGUAUGUUGUCCAUUGACGGCAUCCGAUUUGGACGAAAGGCUUUGCGGUGAAGGAUGGGGAUGCGUCCGAUUAGCCAGACGGCGGGGUAACGGCCCACCGUGGCUACGAUCGGUAGGGGUUCUGAGAGGUAGGUCCCCCACACUGGAACUGAGACACGGUCCAGACUCCUACGGGAGGCAGCAGUGAGGAAUAUUGGUCAAUGGGCGUAAGCCUGAACCAGCCAAGUAGCGUGCAGGAUGACGGCCCUAUGGGUUGUAAACUGCUUUUAUGCGGGGAUAAAGUGGCCCACGUGUGGGCUUUUGCAGGUACCGCAUGAAUAAGGACCGGCUAAUUCCGUG